GACGAACGCUGGCGGCGUGCCUAAUACAUGCAAGUUGAGCGCUGAAGGUUGGUACUUGUACCAACUGGAUGAGCAGCGAACGGGUGAGUAACGCGUGGGGAAUCUGCCUUUGAGCGGGGGACAACAUUUGGAAACGAAUGCUAAUACCGCAUAAAAACUUUAAACACAAGUUUUAAGUUUGAAAGAUGCAAUUGCAUCACUCAAAGAUGAUCCCGCGUUGUAUUAGCUAGGUGGUGAGGGAAAGGCUCACCAAGGCGAAGAUACACAGCCGGACUGAGGGGGUGAUCGGCCACAUUGGGACUGGGAAACGGCCCAAACUCCUACGGGAGGCAGCAGUAGGGAAUCUUCGGCAAUGGACGGAAGUCUGACCGAGCAACGCCGCGUGAGUGAAGAAGGUUUUCGGAUCGUAAAACUCUGUUUGUAGAGAAGAACGUUAGUGAGAGUGGAAAGCUCAUCAAGUGACGGUAACUACCCAGAAAGGGACGGCUAACUACGUG
rnacentral:rRNA from 1 species